rnacentral:rRNA from 1 species
UACGGAGGGUGCAAGCGUUGCUCGGAAUUAUUGGGCGUAAAGGGUAGGUAGGUGGUCUCAUUUGUCUGGGGUGAAAUCCUUGAGCUUAACUCAAGAAGUGCCCCAGAAACGGUGAGACUAGAGUCCUGGAGAGGGUCGUGGAAUUCCCGGUGUAGCGGUGAAAUGCGUAGAGAUCGGGAGGAACACCAGAGGCGAAGGCGGCGACCUGGACAGGAACUGACACUCAACUACGAAAGCGUGGGGAGCAAACAGG